CCGUUUAAAAGCUCUAAUUAAAAGUCAGUAAAAUGUGUGUGUGUGUUAACAUCGAAUUCUGCUAUCUAGAAAAUCGUUAAAUGGUUUCAGACUUUGUUACGCUUCUGUGUUUCUAAAAAUCGUGAAAAUGAAAUUUUGUUUUUCGUGACUUCGUGAAAUCGAAAAAUAAUCUUCGUGAUUUCGUGACGAACCCCCUUGCCACUCCCCCUUGCCCCC